rnacentral:Y_RNA from 1 species
GGCUGGUCCGAUUGCAGUGGGUUAUCAGAACUUAUUAACAUUAGUGUCACGAAAGUUGGUAUACCACCCCCCCCCCCACUGCUAAAUUUGACUGGCUUUAA